CCUUGAGCACGGACAGCCUGGAUCUGCUGGCCUGGAGUCGGGGACUCUGAAACCUAAUCUGAAGUGUGUUUAACGAGGGUUCUGAACGCUGGGACUUAUUGCUGAGGGGAACAAGGAGACAGUGUGUCCUCAGGGGCAGUGUGGCCGCCCCUAGAGCCACAGCAAGCAGGAAGAAUCGCAGCAUUUGUGGUCAGAACCGAUGGGCAGGCCUAAACAUUUAGCUACUUUGCCCCAGAAUGAAAGCCUUGUUCCAGCUCCCCAGGGUUUGGAUUUAAAGUUUUAGUUCCUGUCGGUGGUCGCAGUUUCCUGACGAGGGUGCCAUCCAGUCUGCUGUUCAGCUUUUGAGUCAUUUAAUUUUUCUUCUUCCAACUUCUCCUCCUCCACCUUCUCCUCCUCCACAUCAUCAUCAUCAUCCCAAAUACCCAUUAGAGCUCGCCUAGUCUGGAUGCCGUUCUAAGGGCAUGGUGUAUACUAAGUCGCUUAAUCCUUACGGUGACCCAGUGAAGUGGUUCAAUCUUUACGUCCAUUUUAUGUAAGAGGAAACUGAGGCACAAGAAGUAGCUUGCCUCCAGUGAGUGUGACUUUGGGCACUCCGUUGUCCUCCAGCCUGGAAAGUCCCAGUAGAUACAGCACAGCUGAGGUGCAGGUGUGCAGGUAUAUCAAUCCCUUCUGCCCACAGGGUAAAGCCCUAGAGCAUUGCAUCUGGUCUCAAGUGUCCAGGGCUCAAGUGUCCAGCUUUACACAGAUGUUACUGCUGAUGUCUGGAAAGUGAAAAAGGUAG
rnacentral:lncRNA from 1 species